rnacentral:rRNA from 1 species
CGAGCGGGNAGUUGAUUGGGACUAAGCAUCCGUAGCCGGUUCUGCAAGUCUUCCGUUAAAUCCACCUGCUUAACAGAUGGGCCGCGGAAGAUACUAUAGAGCUAGGAGGCGGGAGAGGCAAGCGGUACUCGAUGGGUAGGGGUAAAAUCCGUUGAUCCAUUGAAGACCACCAGUGGCGAAGGCGGCUUGCCAGAACGCGCUCGACGGUGAGGGAUGAAAGCUGGGGGAGCAAACCGGAUUAGAUACCCGGGUAGUCCCAGCUGUAAACGAUGCAGACUCGGUGAUGAAUUGGCUUCAUGCCAAUUCAGUGCCGCAGGGAAGCCGUUAAGUUUGCCGCCUGGGGAGUACGGUCGCAAGACUGAAACUUAAAGGAAUUGGCGG